CAGUAGCCACGGUAAUACAGAGGGUGCAAGCGUUAAUCGGAUUUACUGGGCGUAAAGGGCGCGUAGGUGGUUAUGUAAGUGAGAUGUGAAAUCCCCGGGCUCAACCUGGGAACUGCAUCUUAUACUGCGUAGCUGGAGUGCAGUAGAGGGUAGUGGAAUUUCCGGUGUAGCGGUGAAAUGCGUAGAUAUCGGAAGGAACACCAGUGGCGAAGGCGGCUACCUGGACUGACACUGACACUGAGGCGCGAAAGCGUGGGGAGCAAACAGGAUUAGAUACCCCGGUAGUCCCUGUCUCUUAUAC
rnacentral:rRNA from 1 species